UGGGGGAUCGUCUAAUGGCAGGACGACCGGUUCUGGUCCGGUUAAUCGGGGUUCGAGUCCCUGUCCCCCAG
rnacentral:tRNA from 1 species